rnacentral:lncRNA from 1 species
GGGAAGUUGAAUAAGCCUGUUUCGAAAAGAUAAUUGUUCUAACAUCCGUAGCAAUUAUUUUGCCUGACCUUAACUACUGGCGUUCACCUUGUGCUGACACUUGGACAGGGAAGCCCAGCUGGACUCUACCCAAUCCACCUGAGCCUUCCAGAGGAUUUUUCAGAGACUACUCUUAAUGUUGUUGGUUCCUUUGACAUGUUGAGCACUGAAGAGUUCCAGGAAAAUAAAGUGCUCCAGCACAUGCAAUUCCCACAUCAGCCUUGGGAGAAGAGGCUUGCAGUCCAUAGAAAGUGA